GUUUUAAAGGCAUGUAUUACGUGGAUAUGUGCCUCCGUAUUUGGGUAGUUCCAUAUCCUGUUGUUACUUUUCAUGCUUCAACAUGUUCUUGGACUGGGUGGUGAGGAAGGAGGCUGGGAUAGACUCCUUGCUACACUACCUCAAUGAUUUCAUUUGUGUGGGUCCUGCCGACUCGCCAGCCUGUGCGCUGCUGCAACGGGUUCUGGGUGAGGUGUUCCAUAAGUU